rnacentral:snRNA from 1 species
ACCUUUCGGAAGGAUGCA